UAUCACCUCGAGCAUUUGGUAC
rnacentral:siRNA from 1 species